rnacentral:tRNA from 1 species
GGCCGAGUGGUUUAGGGCGCUGGUCUUGAAAUCCGGAGGUUGUGGUUUCAAGCUCUCCACCCA